UCACCAGCAUCGCCAUCAUCGUUGCCCGAUUCACUGUGUUUUUUUUUUCGUUUUGGUUGCUGUUGCUGAUUUGGUAUCCCUUACCUACCCGAACCAUGAACGCUAUUUUGGAGAAGUACACCUUCAAGGAUGACUACGUGAGCCCGCGUGGCAUUCCGAAGGUCGCCUUCGUCGAGAACGUGGCGGAGCUGGUCAAGUCGAGCGGCGACAGUGCCGAGACGCUGCUGAAGCGCUUCAGUGAACAGUACAGCAAGUACAAGCUCGCGGAGCACCGGCUGAUCCGCACGACAGCCAACCUCGAGGCGAAGAUUCCGGACAUCAAGAAGACGCUGCAGACCCUGGAGUAUCUGAAGAAGUCGCUAGUGGCAGAGAACGGCGGCAAGGGCUUCACGACGAACUACGGACUAACGGAGAGUGUCUUCUGCCAGGCUAAGGUUCUGCCGCAGAAGACGGUGCACCUCUGGCUCGGCGCGAACGUGAUGGUCGAGUACACGUUCGAAGAAGCCACGCAGCUUCUGGAGCGCAACCUGAAGAGCGCCACCGAGAACCUCGCGGCGACGCAGGAAGACCUGGCGUGGCUGCAGGAGCAGCAGACGAUCUUGGAGGUGAACACGUCGCGGCUGUACAACUACGACGUGGUGGAGCGCCGUAAGAAAAGUGAGGAAGAGGCAAAGAAGUGAAUCACAACGCGGUGACGGCGCGCCGUAAGGAUUCAAGGAGCUCCGCGCUGUGGUUCCGACUUGUAUCCCUUUCUCUUGCCGAUCUUUUUGCCUUGGCAAGAGCAAAAAGAACCACUGUCUGUUACUCUCACACAGGUCUCCAGGUUGGAUAGAAGGGGCGAUGCGGUAGAGAAAGGCCGAGGGAGAGGCUGCGCGGAGAAAUGGGAGUGAGCUGGAUGCCUGAAUGCGCCCGCGCAUACGUCUGGGCUUGUACUUGCGGCGUCGCCAAUGUUAAGGGUAGAGAGCACUUCUGCCAACACCGCCGACUUUACUCCGCAUCUGGAUGUGUUUGCGAGUGCACAUCCACAUCUGUCAAGCGGUUCACCUCUCUCGCCGCUGCAGCACCCCCUCCCCCACAAUACCUCCUCCUUCACGCACACACACACACUCCUUGAACACUUUUCGUCAGCGGUCGCCUUCACGUUGCGUUUCUGCGUUUGUGUUUGUGUGUGUGCGUGCAUGUCUCGCUGUGAUCACCUACUUCGUUUUUUUUUUCGUUUUUUCGUGUGCCUUUUAUGUUGCUAUGGCGGUUGGGUCGGACGGCCGGUCGGUUGAUUGAAUGUGGAUGUGGAUGUGCGAGAGUGUUGUGUGGCAUGCAUGGCACACAAGCACCUUCACAUGCGUAUCUAAAGAAUCGUCUAAUCGUUUUGUUUUGAAUGCCCUUCAUAGAGAGUGUGUGUGUGUGCGUGGUUGCACGUACAACGAAGGACUUG
rnacentral:misc_RNA from 1 species